CAGCCUCAGAAGCUAUUAUGCAAGCUGGUACCAGCAGAAGCCAGGACAGGCCCCUGUACUUGUCAUCUAUGGUAAAAACAACCGGCCCUCAGGGAUCCCAGACCGAUUCUCUGGCUCCAGCUCAGGAAACACAGCUUCCUUGACCAUCACUGGGGCUCAGGCGGAAGAUGAGGCUGACUAUUACUGUAACUCCCGGGACAGCAGUGUGGUAAUCAUAGCACAUGUGUGGUAUUCGGCGGAGGGACCAAGCUGACCGUCCUAGGUCAGCCCAAGGCUGCCCCCUCGGUCACUCUGUUCCCGCCCUCCUCUGAGGAGCUUCAAGCCAACAAGGCCACACUGGUGUGUCUCAUAAGUGACUUCUACCCGGGAGCCGUGACAGUGGCCUGGAAGGCAGAUAGCAGCCCCGUCAAGGCGGGAGUGGAGACCACCACACCCUCCAAACAAAGCAACAACAAGUACGCGGCCAGCAGCUAUCUGAGCCUGACGCCUGAGCAGUGGAAGUCCCACAGAAGCUACAGCUGCCAGGUCACGCAUGAAGGGAGCACCGUGGAGAAGACAGUGGCCCCUACAGAAUGUUCAUAGGUUCUCAACCCUCACCCCCCACCACGGGAGACUAGAGCUGCAGGAUCCCAGGGGAGGGGUCUCUCCUCCCACCCCAAGGCAUCAAGCCCUUCUCCCUGCACUCAAUAAACCCUCAAUAAAUAUUCUCAUUGUCAAUC
rnacentral:lncRNA from 1 species